rnacentral:lncRNA from 1 species
GAUAUUCAAAAAUUAGUUUUAUUAUGAUUGCCUCCUGGAAGAGGACUAUACAGAGUUUCUUUCACAUUUUCAUAAAAUUUCCCACAACCUGAGAAAUUAAUAAACUUAAAACAGCGAGCACUCAUCUUUUCUUGACAAAAAUUGUAUAGAACUCACAAAAGAAAUUAUCCAGCUUAGAAAAGAAUUAGUCUGCAUAUGGUGUGAUUGCGAGACAGAGAAGCUAAUCCAAAAUCUGGUGAAUCUAAUAUCUCCGGUUACCAUUAAUAGAAAUUUAGCAGCGAAAAAAGGAGGAUUUACAUACAGCACCAUGGAGAUCGAAAGACAACUGCCAUGGGUCUGAAGUUCAGCAAUAGCAAGCAAAUUUCAAUCCAUUACAUCUGAAGUUUGCCCGUCGCAGUGCAAACUUUAGACCUCGGGUCUGAAGUUUCAACAACUUCAAACAUACAAAUAUUGAUAUUAGGCUUGCAUAUAAUUGAAGUUUCAACAACUUCAAACCUGCAUGUCUGAAGUUAACUUUGGCAUAUUGCUUGUGCAGUUCGAACUUAAGACAUUUCGGACUGAAUUGCUUGUGUAGUUCAAACUUCAGACAUUUUGGACUGAAGUGAACCUUGGCAGUCCGCAGUACCCAACUUCAGAUCUACAUGUCCGAAGUUAACCUUGGCUUAUUGCUUGUACAGUUCAAACUUCAGACAUUUCGGACUGAAGUUAACCUCAGCAUAUUGCUUGUGCAGUUCCAACUUCAGACAUUUUGGACACCUUGGCAGUCUGCAGUACCCAACUUCAGAUCUGCAUGUCCUAAGUUAACCUUGGCUUAUUGCUUGUGUAGUUCAAACUUCAGACAUUUCGGACUGAAGUUAACCUCAGCAUAUUGCUUGUGCAGUUCGAACUUCAAACAUUUUGGACUGAAGUUAACCUUGCCAGUCCGCAGUACCUAACUUCAGAUCUGUCUGAAGUUAAUUUUGGCAUAUUGCAUGUGCCGUUCGAACUUCAGACAUUUCAGACUGAAGUUAACGUUGGCAGUCGGAUCGACAGUCCCCAACUUCAGAUUUGUAUGUCUGAAAUUAACCUUGGCAUAUUGCUUGUGCGGUUUGGAUUUCACACAUUUCAGACCAAUCCGCAAGACCCAACUUCAAAUCUAUAUGCUUAAAAGUUUGAACUAUCAAGCCUAAGUUCAAACUCAAAUGUAUCAAUAUAGUGGCUAAAAAGAGCUUUUUUAGAGUGAGAUUCUCAAAAAUUAUAUUGAAAUGGAUACUGGAGCGACUUUUACGAAGAGUAUUUCUACGUCCUUCAAGCUUCCAGUAGUUAUUUUUCAACUAUUUAAACUUCUUUCCCCACUGUAACCCAAACAAAAAAAUCGAAAAUCUAUCAACAUUAUCAACUAAAAAUUGAUAGAGAAAUAGAAAUCCUAGCUCAAAAUACUCACCAAAAUGCAACAAGAGUUCGAAGAAUGCUCUUCGUGAAUCAUUACAUCUUCCACCAAAGCUAUUACCUCUUCAUCUCAAGCUUUAGAUCUGAAACCAAUAAUUAAGCAGGAAAGUACACAGAAAAUAAAGAGAACGGAAUGAGAUAUUACAUAAAAAUAAAGAGAACGAUUUAAGUUGAAGAGAAAAUCAUUGAGAACUAAGUGUUGGAUGGAUCUACUGCGUUGAAGGAUGUACAAGUUUUCUUUUUGUUUUUUUU